UUAGGCUUGUUCCUGACAAGGUCAAUAAGACCCUCUCCAUCAUCGACAGUGGUAUCGGCAUGACCAAAGCAGGUAAUGAAUUCUAUUCCUACGGCAAUUUCAUCUGGCCUGUAUUAUCCCUUUCAUUUAUUUUUUAUUCUCUGGGAAUCUGUAUUCAGGAAGCGAGACAAAAGGAAUGUUAAAAGGGAGAAAAAAGGAAAAAGAAACAGAAAAAUAAAAAAUGGAUUAUUCUGUACGAGGAAGAGCUCUGUACGUUUUUUAUUUACUUGCUUGUAAAGAUAGUAAAAGAUGAAUUUAUACGUUUAUCGGCUGUCCCAAGAUUAAUUGUUUUUAGCUAAAACUUACCUCUUCUUACGGUGGUAAAAAUUUAGAGACACAAUUGUUUAAGCUGUAAAGUAAGCUGAGAGGAGAUAACGAUUAUUCUUAUUAAUCGUUAUGAGUUAGUAUCUUGCUGCUGCGACUUAUCUUUGGAGGGAAAAUUUUGAACUUAGAGUUAAAAGCCGAUUUGGCUUACUCGGACUGGCAGCAUUCGAUUGUGUUGUUGGGUGCUGAGUUCACGGUUAUGAUUAAUUCCUU
rnacentral:lncRNA from 1 species